AGAGGGUGCAAGCGUUAAUCGGAAUUACUGGGCGUAAAGGGCGUGUAGGUGGUUUAUUAAGUUGGCUGUGAAAGCCCCGGGCUCAACCUGGGAGGGUCAGCCAAAACUAGUAGACUAGAGUACGGUAGAGGGUAGUGGAAUUUCCGGUGUAGCGGUGAAAUGCGUAGAUAUCGGAAGGAACACCAGUGGCGAAGGCGACUACCUGGACUGAUACUGACACUGAGGCGCGAAAGCGUGGGGAGCGAACAGGAUUAGAUACCCUGGGUAGUCCACGCUGUAAACGAUGAGAACUAGCCGUUGGAGACGUAAGUUUUUAGUGGCGCAGCUAACGCGAUAAGUUCUCCGCCUGGGGAGUACGGCCGCAAGGCUA
rnacentral:rRNA from 1 species